AAUUUUAUAUGUAGUGGCGGUCAUAAGGCCUGUAUUGGGACAUAGUUGGGACAAUAUUUGGGUAAAUUGAUCUUCAAAUUGAUCAAUCACCUCGUCAAGCUGAACAUCUGCAGGUGCAGCGAGUCUUUCACUCAUCCGGAUGCUAACAAACGCCACAUCAAUCCCUCAAACAUCGGGAUUUUUCAUGAAAAAUGUAUAGUUUUUAAUUAUAAUAUUUCGUUUUUAGUGUGUUGAUGAGAAGAGGCUGAACUCAUGCAGAAGCAGGAUGUUUUUCAGAUUUCAACCUGUUCAGUGUAACAUGAGCUGAAUCCUGAAUGAGAAGCGACUGGCAGCCGUCGGUGGAGUCUGACGUGAGGCGCAUGGAGGCGUUGCGUUCGCUCAGACACGCUGACGGGUUCACGAAGAGUUUACAGCCACAGGGAAGAGAGGGUGAGAUUCAAGGAGACCGAUCAGAAAUAUGAGUAAUCACUUGAUUAGCAAGAAGCCCUUGAAAAUAAAUUCAAAAACAGCUAUUGUGAGGACACAGAAAUAGCCACAGCUUCAGACCAUUACAGUGACGUCAGCACUUACCAACGGAAAGACUUGAACAUGAAAGCUGAACAACACUGCUUUAACACACAAUCAUCUGGUUAUUGUGUACAACAGGGCCAUUACUGAAAUAACCUUCAGCUGAUGUUCCUUAAAAGUUUAAAUAAAUAGUUUGGAAAAUAAA